GACGAACGCUGGCGGCGUGCUUAACACAUGCAAGUCGAACGAAAAGCGCUGGUAGCUUGCUUCUCUCAUUCUUAGUGGCGGACGGGUGAGUAAUGCGUAAUCAACCUGCCCCUCAGAGGGGGACUACAGUCGGAAACGACUGCUAAUGCCGCAUACGAUCGGACCUCGGUAUGGCGGAGAUAGGUUAGGUGGUUGCUAUUGAUAAGCCAUCACUGAAGGAGGGGAUUUCGUCUGAUUAGCAAGUUGGGGGGGUAACGUGCAACCAAGGCGAGGAACAGUAGACGGUCUGAGAGGCUGAACGGCAAAGUUGGGACGGGGACAUGGCCCAGAACACUGCGAGAGGGAGCAGUGGGGGAUCUUCAGGAAUGGAAGAAAGUCUGAAGAAGCGACGCCGCGUGAGUGAUGAAGGCAUUCGGGUUGUGAAGGUGUGUUAGUCGGGAGGAAAGGACUUCUUGCGAAUAGUUAGAAGGAUUGACGGUACCGGAAGAAAAAGCCACGGCUAACUACGUG
rnacentral:rRNA from 1 species